rnacentral:lncRNA from 15 species
UGAUAAAAUAUUUGAAAUAUAGUGUCUUUUGUAGGACCAUUUCCUUUUUUAACACAUAUAUCUCACAAUAAUUUCCAGAUAAUGUCCUUAAAACUAUACAAAGAGAAGAGUUUGAGUCUUUUGGCCAUGAUUUGUACAACUUGGAUUAUCAGCGAUAAAUUAUUGGAAUUUCAAAAUAAAAUUCAGUCAUUAGAUCUGUAUGAUUGCUAAUUAAAGAGUAAAUAUCCCAAAACCUCAUAAUACUUACAUUUUGCACAUAAAUCACAUAUUUUUCAUUGCAUUGCAUUCACACAAAUUGAUACAGUUUGUUUCUUCAUUUGAACAAAGUUAAUUCACUUUCAUCACUUUGUCACUUACAGUUGUAUCAAGUUAUAACAGUGCUGUGUGAAUAAGACACACUUUCAAGCUGCAAAUAACAUGCUGCUUUCUAAUUAAAGCUCAAGCUCAGGCCUCUAAAUAUGUGAUCACCACAAGCACAUAUGCAAGUUUAAGCAGGUCAUGUGAUCUUUAUUCUCACUAACCAUGUAAAUUGUAAGCAGUGCAAGAAGUAGUUAAUAUUGGUUGGACUCUUAAUGGAUCCAGCUCAAACUGUAGUCUGAAGACCUGAUGUUUGAUGAUCUGAAAUAUUACUGUAGACACAUAUAACACUAUUUUCUGUCUGUAUUCAUUCAUUUGCUGCUGUUUUACCUUUUAGAGACUUAAUAUAAAAGCUGAAGCUCUUGUUGCAGCACUUCCUUAAUAGGAGAGUUCACACCUGUCCUUAGCUGUGAGGGUUUGAGGUUUAUGAACCAGAGAACAGAGUAUUGAGGUCUGUGUGUCCUCCCUUCAGUACAACAUGUUGUACUCUACCAGCAGCAGUUGUUUUUUGACCAGUAUGGCAAAACUGAGACUGUUCUUUGUUCUUCUUCUGCCACUAACUGUGAGUUCUGACACUGAAGUGACUCUUGUGAAAACCAUUGGGAACAAACCAGAUGUGAUUCCAAUCUGCACCUAUGAAACACAGCAGAUCAUCACACUUGUAGUUUGUAAGAUCAGAACACAGAUGAGAGGAGAAGAGUGUCGUCUGACAUAUUAUCUUGGAAAGGGUUUUAUACCUGAAUGUGACUCUAGAUUCACACUUAUGAUGGAGAAUCAAACUAUGUUUCUCCACCUGACCAGUUUAACACCAGUGGAUAGUGGGAACUUCACCUUUGAGUGUUCCUUUCCUGGUGGAACAUUUAAUCUCUAUCUGAAUAUCACUGUGGAAGAUGUUGUAGAAGAUGAAGACGACAGAAAUUCAACAUUAACUUUAAGUGUUUUGAUUGGUGUAACUACAGUCACCAUAAUAACUGGAGUUAUUCUGGGUUUAAUCUACAGGACAAAAUGUAAUGGGUGAGAGAAUAUUAUGAUUGUAAUACUUCACAUGUUUUUGGAUCCAACUCAUUUUGGAUUAUUACUUUUACGUGGAAAAACAUUUUUACUAAAUGUAAAUAUGGUGUGGUGCAUUUAUUGUACAUUUCACUCAGAGAAGAUGUUUGUUUUACACUAUUUUGCUCAUUUUCCUGAAUGGUAUUAUUAUUAUUAUUGCAAAUUUCUAGAAGAUGAAGAUAAGCUUUAAUUCUUCCGCAUAUUUAUUUCUCCUCUUAUUUAAAGAAGCUGUUCAAGGUCAGCAACAUCUGGAUUAUCUGUGUGUGAACCUCCUGGCUCUCUGGUGAGUAAUGUAUUCUUAUGUUCUGUAUAAACUCAGACAGCAGCCAAUUUAAUAUUUGUAAUAAUAAAUACAUAAAUAUACAUUUAUAUGUGUAUCUACAGUGGGUACGGAAAGUAUUCAGACCCCUUUAAAAUUUUCACUCUUCGUUUCAUUGCAGCCAUUUGCUAAAAUCAAAAAGUUCAUUUUAUUUCUCAUUAAUGUACACUCAGCACCCCAUCUUGACAGAAAAAAACAGAAAUGUAGAAAUUUUUGCAAAUUUUUUAUAAAAGAAAACUGAAAUAUCACAUGGUCAUAAGUAUUCAGACCCUUUGCUGUGAUACUCAUAU